rnacentral:rRNA from 1 species
CCCCUAGAUGUUCUGGGCCGCACGCGCGCUACACUGAACAGUUCAACAAGUCUUAACCUUGGCCGAUAGGUCUGGGUAAUCUUUGAACGCUGUUCGUGAUUGGGAUAGACCUUUGCAAUUAUGGGUCUUCAACGAGGAAUUCCUAGUAAACGCAAGUCGUCAGCUUGCAUUGAUUACGUCCCUGCCCUUUGUACACACCGCCCGUCGCACCUACCGAUUGAAUGGUCCGGUGAAAUCUCGGGACGGCGGCUCGGUCGCUUGCGUCCGACUGCUGAAACUUGAUUAAACCAUAUCAUUUAGAGGAAGGUGAAGUCGUAACA